GAUGAACGCUGGCGGCGUGCUUAACACAUGCAAGUCGAACGAAGAUGCCGGAGUGCUUGCACUUUGGCAGACUGAGUGGCGGACGGGUGAGUAACGCGUGGGUAACCUGCCUUAUACGAGGGGGAUAACAGUUGGAAACGACUGCUAAUACCGCAUAAGCGCACGGUAUCGCAUGAUACAGUGUAGAAAAACUCCGGUGGUAUAAGAUCGGACCCGCGUCUGAUUAGCUUGUUGGUGAGGUAACGGCCCACCAAGGCGACGAUCAGUAGCCGGCCUGAGAGGGUGAACGGCCACAUUGGGACUGAGACACGGCCCAAACUCCUACGGGAGGCAGCAGUGGGGAAUAUUGCACAAUGGGGGAAACCCUGAUGCAGCGACGCCGCGUGAGUGAUGAAGUAUUUCGGUAUGUAAAACUCUAUCAGCAGGGAAGAUAAUGACGGUACCUGACUAAGAAGCACCGGCUAAAUACGUG
rnacentral:rRNA from 1 species